GUUUCAAAGGGCCCCACCUCCUUUCUUAAGGGGCUGAGGGGCCGGAAUCUCAGAAGUACCUUGGGAAAAGCUCACAGCGUCCCCUCAUUUUACAACCUAGAGAAAGACUCUGAGAAAUCAGAGGAGGAAGGGGGGGCGCACAGAGAUAGACUGGGGGCUGUCGAAGGUGGUUUAGAUGGAUUUACUGGCAUCUUGUUCUGAUCACUUGCAAUUAACUCAGAUUUAUUUUGAUCGCAGGAGUGUGCUUGCCUCUAACGGUCCUUGCUUUGAGGCACCCACUCUGCUGCCGAGAUUUCUGUUUCCCUUUUCGCGUCACACAACCGGCUUACAAAGUAUACAGAGGGGUGUAGCCAAUGCUAGCCCUACUCCAAGGAGACCCACUUAAAUAAAUGAACAAGACUGACUUAGGCCCAUCUGUUCCAGUAGGUCUACUCUUGAGUAAAGCUUAGCUGGGUACAACCCAUAUAUUUUAAAACCAGGGUACAUGCUAUGUGUGUAUCUAUGUACUUGUAUUGCAAUGUACUUCUGUGUACCCCAAAACUAUGGGGCAGUUUAAAGACCCGCAGAUACAACCCAACACAGAGUUAAGCCUGGUCUUAAACCCACUAGCUUGAAUCUAGGCUUACCAGUGAGUAUAUUUCCUGAAAUCGUUGGGACUUAAAGUUAGUCAUAUUCAGUUCACUGCGGCUGCUGCAAGCAUCACUAAAUCUGGAUCUGGCCCAUUCAAAUCAACAUAUUUUUUGUUUUGUUUUGUUUUUUGCAGUGUAAUCCUAUGCACACUUACCUGCCAGUAAGCACCAUUGAACCUAGUAGGGUUCAAUGGUGUAACAUAUCUGAGUAAACAUAUAUAGGGUUGAGCUGCAAAUGUGCUUAGCCCAGCACUGGGCCAUCCUUUUGUGUCAUCUCCGAAACAGAUGGUUACAGAAUAAUGCGCAAUGCUUGGGCAAGAUGCUAAGAUCUGAAAUGCAGGAAUACAUUACGCAGGGCUCCUCAAACCAGAACGGCAAAUCUUCGAGACUGGAUUACUGCAAUGCGCCGUUUGGGGGCCCUUCCUUUGCGUUUGAUCCGGAAGCUGCAGUCGGGGCAGAAUGCUGCAGCACGAUUGCUGACGGGAGUGAGGCCUUGUCGGCAUAGAACGCCUGUGGCCCACAGAUUGGCAUUGGUUGCCGAUUUGCUACCAGGUCAAUUUUGACAUGUUACCGUUAGCCUUUAACAACUCGGGGCCAGUUUGCCCAGGAGAUCACUUUGCCAUGUGCCCACACAGCCACUUCAGUCGGUGGAAUUGGCAGCACUAUAGGUGCCAAGCCAUUUCAUGUUUGUAAGAACUCGAUCGUUCAGUGAACUUUGGAACUCCCUGUCUAUAGAGAUCCAGCAGGCGCUUAUUCUUUUCGGAGCCUGCUAAAAACAUUCCCGUUCAGACAAGCCGACUCUGGUGCUUAGAAACUUGAGGUCAUUGUAAUCCGUUUCAGUAUUUUAACUUUUGCAGACUUGUGAUUUCUCUCUCAAGUUUAUUGUUUUAUCUUUUCAUAACCACUUUGAGGGUUUUUACAAGCAAGCGGUGUAUACGUUUUAUGAGAUAAAUGAACAAUAAAUAAAUAUUCAAUAUG